rnacentral:lncRNA from 1 species
UAUUUUUGGCACACGGAGGCCGCCCGCCAAGUCUGGUGCCAUUCCGAGUCCCGCGGACGAACUUCGCCCACGCCCCCCACCAAGGCUAUAGCCCACCCCUUUUUUGGCCAUUUUUCCGCUGGGGGGUCUUGGGACCCCGAACUUCGGGGGCUGUUUUUUGGGCGCGGCUGUGCCCGUGGCCUAUUUUUGGCACACGGAGGCCGCCCGCCAAGUCUGGUGCCAUUCCGAGUCCCGCGGACGAACUUCGCCCACGCCCCACACCAAGGCUAUAGCCCACCCGUUUUUUGGCCAUUUUUCUGCUGGGGGGUCUUGGGACCCCGACCUUGGGGGGCUGGUUUUUGGGCGCGGCUGUGCCCGUGGCCUAUUGUUUGCACACGGAGGCCGCCCGCCAAGUCUGGUGCCAUUCCGAGUUCCGCGGACGAACUUCGCCCACGCCCCCCACCAAAGCUAUAGCCCACCCGUUUUUUGGCCAUUUUUCCGCUGGGGGGUCUAGGGACCCCGAACUUCGGGGGCUGUUUUUUGGGCGCGGCUGUGCCCGUGGCCUAUUUUUGGCACACGGAGGCCGCCCGCCAAGUCUGGUGCCAUUCCGAGUCCCGCGGACGAACUUCGCCCACGCCCCCCACCAAGGCUAUAGCCCACCCGUUUUUUGGCCAUUUUUCCGCUGGGGGGUCUUGGGACCCCGACCUUCGGGGGCUUUUUUUUGGGCGCGGCUGUGCCCGUGGCCUAUUUUUGGCACACGGAGGCCGCCCGCCAAGUCUGGUGCCAUUCCGAGUCCCGCGGAUGAACUUCGCCCACGCCCCCCACCAAGGCUAUAGCCCACCCGUCUUUUGGCCAUUUUUCCGCUGGGGGGUCUUGGGACCUCGACCUUCGGGGGCUGGUUUUUGGGCGCGGCUGUGCCCGUGGCCUAUUUUUGGCACACGGAGGCCGCCCGCCAAGUCUGGUGGCAUUCCGAGUCCCGCGGACGAACUUCGCCCACGCCACCCACCAAGGCUAUAGCCCACCCGUUUUUUGGCCAUUUUUCUGCUGGGGGGUCUUGGGACCCCGACCUUGGGGGGCUGGUUUUUGGGCGCGGCUGUGCCCGUGGCCUAUUGUUUGCACACGGAGGCCGCCCGCCAAGUCUGGUGCCAUUCCGAGUCCCGCGGACGAACUUCGCCCUCGCCCCCCACCAAGGCUAUAGCCCACCCGUUUUUUGGCCAUUUUUCCGCUGGGGGGUCUUGGGACCCCGACCUUCGGGGGCUGGUUUUUGGGCGCGGCUGUGCCCGUGGCCUAUUUUUGGCACACGGAGGCCGCCCGCCAAGUCUGGUGCCAUUCCGAGUUCCGCGGACGAACUUCGCCCACGCCCCCCACCAAAGCUAUAGCCCACCCGUUUUUUGGCCAUUUUUCCGCUGGGGGGUCUAGGGACCCCGAACUUCGGGGGCUGUUUUUUGGGCGCGGCUGUGCCCGUGGCCUAUUUUUGGCACACGGAGGCCGCCCGCCAAGUCUGGUGCCAUUCCGAGUCCCGCGGACGAACUUCGCCCACGCCCCCCACCAAGGCUAUAGCCCACCCGUUUUUUGGCCAUUUUUCCGCUGGGGGGUCUUGGGACCCCGACCUUCGGGGGCUUUUUUUUGGGCGCGGCUGUGCCCGUGGCCUAUUUUUUGCACACGGAGGCCGCCCGCCAAGUCUGGUGCCAUUCCGAGUCCCGCGGACGAACUUCGCCCACGCCCCCCACCAAGGCUAUAGCCCACCCGUUUUUUGGCCAUUUUUCCGCUGGGGGGUCUUGGGACCCCGACCUUCGGGGGCUGUUUUUUGGGCGCGGCUGUGCCCGUGGCCUAUUUUUGGCACACGGAGGCCACCCGCCAAGUCUGGUGCCAUUCCGAGUCCCGCGGACGAACUUCGCCCACGUCCCCCACCAAGGCUAUAGCCCACCCGUUUUUUGGCCAUUUUUCUGCUUGGGGGUCUUGGGACCCCGACCUUCGGGGGCUGUUUUUUGGGCGCGGCUGUGCCCGUGGCCUAUUUUUGACACACGGAGGCCGCCCGCCAAGUCUGGUGCCAUUCCGAGUCCCGCGGACGAACUUCGCCCACGCCCCCCACCAAGGCUAUAGCCCACCCGUCUUUUGGCCAUUUUUCCGCUGGGGGGUCUUGGGACCCCGACCUUCGGUUGCUGGUUUUUGGGCGCGGCUGUGCCCGUGGCCUAUUUUUGUUACACGGAGGCCGCCCGCCAAGUCUGGUGCAAUUCCGAGUCCCGCGGACGAACUUCGCCCACGUCCCCCACCAAGGCUAUAGCCCACCCGUUUUUUGGCCAUUUUUCCGCUGGGGGUUCUCGGGACCCCGACCUUCGGGGGCUGUUUUUUGGGUGCGGCUGUGCCCGUGGCCUAUUUUUGGCACACGGAGGCUGCCCGCCAAGUCUAGUGCCAUUCCUAGUCCCGCGGACGAACUUCGCCCACGCCCCCCACCAAGGCUAUAGCCCACCCGUUUUUUGGCCAUUUUUCCGCUGGGGGGUCUUGGGACCCCGACCUUCGGGGGCUGUUUUUUGGGCGCGGCUGUGCCCGUGGCCUAUUUUUGGCACACGGAGGCCGCCCGCCAAGUCUGGUGCCAUUCAGAGUCCCGCGGACAAACUUCGCCCACGCCCCCCACCAAGGCUAUAGCCCACCCGUUUUUUGGCCAUUUUUCUGCUUGGGGGUCUUGGGACCCCGACCUUCGGGGGCUGUUUUUUGGGCGCGGCUGUGCCCGUGGCCUAUUUUUGGCACACGGAGGCCGCCCGCCAAGUCUGGUGCCAUUCCGAGUCCCGCGGACGAACUUCGCCCACGCCCCCCACCAAGGCUAUAUGUCACGGCCCGGAUUGUUCCCACGCUAUGCCGUGCGGCCUUAGGCGCCAAAUUCGCACUCUAUUGGCCCUAAGUCAGCCUUACACCCAAAUCUGUUGCUGGAUUCGAGAAGCGGAAAAAGGAAUCACUCUAACUCACAAAGUAUGGGAGGAAAGAACUUAUAUUGCUCGAUAGAAUGUUUACAAAGCUAUGUGUGCUGGAAUUGUAUAUUGCUUUUUGAUUGAUUUGGCCAAAUGAGGCCUUCUCCGAUUUAUAGGGUACAAAGAAGUAUCUAGAGAGUCUCUAGAGUUACAUAAACACAUUAAUUACAAUGGAAAUAUCUACAUGCUCUACACAAGUCUCCAUGGCUCUAGAAUUCUCCAUGGGCCAGGCCAUGUGGAAGCUUGGGCCAUGACAUUCUCCCCCACCUAUUCCGGAGACGUCCUCGUCGACUCGCUGUGGAAGGCUUUGAUCUUGUCUUGGAACUGCCACAAAUCAUAUGCGGGCUCCCAACUUGUUUCGCUCUCGGGUAGUCCCUUCCAUUUGACAAAGUACUCUUGGCAUGGUGGAAAACUCUUCUUCCAAACCACACGGUCAGCCAAAAUGGCCUCCACUUCUUUGUCAUAGACCCUUGUGUUGCCCAGUGGAGGGCGCUUGGAUUCUCCCCUUUUCGGAUCUUCCGUAUCCCCAUGGAAUGGCUUCAAGGAACUCACGUGGAAGACCGGAUGGAGUUUUCGCCAAGAGGGUAACUCUAACUUGUACGACACAUUGCCGACCCUCUUGAUGAUGGGAAAUGGCCCCUCGUAUUUCCGGAUGAGGCCCUUGUGCAGCGAACGUGUGGACUUGUGCUGGGCUGGAACGAUCUUGACUAGCACCAUGUCCCCCACGUUGAACUCCAAGUGUCUACGCUUGCUAUCUGCCCAUUUCUUCAUCCGCUUGGUUGCUUUGUCGAGGUGCGCCCGUGCUAUGUCUGUUUGCUCAUGCCAUGACUUAGCCACUUUAUAUGCUGCAGGACACCUCCCGGUAUAGCUCGUGAUGAGCGUGUGUGGUGUAAGCGGCUGCUGUCCCAUGAUCACCUCAAAAGGGCUCCUCGAUGUAGCCUCACUCCGCUGCAAGUUGUAGGAAAAUUGGGCCACGUCCAGCAACUUUGCCCAGUCAUGCUGGUUGGCGCUCACAAAAUGCCGUAAGUACAGCUCCAACAAGGCAUUCACCCUCUCCGUUUGCCCAUCGGUUUGCGGAUGAAAGCUCGUAGAAAAGUGCAGCACCGACCCCAUAAGCUUGAACAACUCAGUCCAAAACCUCCCCGUAAACCGGCUGUCGCGGUCGCUAAUGAUGGAUUUCGGAAGUCCCCAAUACUUCACCACGUGCCUAAAGAAAAACUUGGCUGUGUCCUCCGCUGUGCACUCCUUCGGGGCAGGAAUGAAAGUGGCAUAUUUCGAGAAUCUGUCCACCACCACAACAAUAGUCGCAAACCCCUCCGAUUUUGGAAGACAAGUGAUGAAAUCCAUCGAUAUACUCUCCCACGGUCGAUCCGGAGUGGGCAGUGGCUCAAGCAACCCCGCGGGACAUUGUUGCUCUGUUUUGUCUUGUUGGCACACUAAGCACGUCCGCACGAACUGCUCCACUUCAUCCCGCAUCUGAGGCCAAUAGUAUGCCGACUCAAGCAAUGCCCGUGUCCGCCUUUGUCCCGGGUGUCCAGCCCACUUCGUAUCAUGACACUCCUUGAUCAAGUUCCGCCGCAAGUUUCCCCACUUCGGAACAUAGACACGCCGUCCCUUGGUGUAUAAAAGGCCAUCUUCGACCCAAAACCUCUUCGAUUUCCCCUGUUGUACGAGAGAAACCAGCUGCUUGGCCAAGGGAUCAUGCUCCGUCCCCUCCUUGAUGAGUGUAAGAAGCUCUCCUUGUAUCCGACUCAUGGCAGCAAGCUCGACCUUCCGACUCAAGGCGUCCGCUACCAAAUUAGCCUUUCCGGGCUUAUACUCCAGCACGUAGUCGAAUUCGGCCAAGAAAUCUUGCCAUCUCGCUUGCUUGGGACUAAGCUUCUUUUGGCUUUGGAAGUAACUAGUGGCCACGUUGUCCGUCUUCACCACGAACUUGGACCCAAGCAAGUAGUGCCUCCAUGUGCGCAAGCAGUGCACUACUGCCGUCAUCUCCUUCUCUUGUACCGUGUACCGCCGCUCCGUAUCGUUGAGCUUUCGGCUCUCAAAGGCUAUUGGAUGUUCGGCCUGCAUCAACACACCUCCAAUAGCAAAAUCGGAAGCAUCAGUGUGUACCUCAAAUGGUAAGUCAUGGUUUGGCAGCACAAGUACCGGCUCUUCCAUCACGGCCUUCUUGAGGGCAUCGAAGGCUUGCUGGCUCCUUUCCGUCCAUUCCCACUUGGUAGUCUUUUUGAGCAAAUCAGUGAGUGGUGCGGCAAUGGCGGAAUAACCUCUAAUGAACCUCCGAUAAUAGUUGGCAAGUCCUAAGAAAGAGCGCAACUCAGUCACCUUUGUGGGCGGCUCCCAUUCGGCAAUGGCUCGGACCUUGGCCUUGUCCAUGAGCAGCGUCCCAUCUCUGAUUUUAUGGCCAAGAAAAUCCACCUCCAGUUUUGCGAACGAACACUUCUCCCUCUUCACAUACAGCUCAUUUUCCCGCAACACCCCGAACACGACCCACAAGUGCUCAGCAUGUUCCGCCAAGGUGUUGCUAUAGACCACGAUGUCAUCAAGAUACACCACUACAAACUGAUCAAGGUAUGGCUGGAAUAUGCGGUUCAUGAGCGUGCAAAAUGUGGCUGGAGCAUUGGUGAGGCCGAAAGGCAUUACCUUGAACUCGUACGCUCCAUACCUCGUCACACAAGCGGUCUUCGGCUCAUCUCCCUCCGCAAUCCGUACUUGGUAAUAUCCCGAUCUAAGGUCCAGCUUGGAGAAAUAUUUGGCCCGUCCAAGUUGAUCGAACAAGUCCGCAAUCAGUGGGAUGGGGUAUUUGUUCUUCACGGUCACCUUGUUAAGAGCCCGGUAGUCGAUACAUAGUCGAAGUGAGCCAUCAUGCUUCCGCUGGAACAGCACCGGUGCUCCGUAUGGUGCUUUCGAGGGCUGGAUGUAUCCUGCGUCCAGCAGCUCCUUAAUUUGCCUCCGCAACUCCUCUAGCUCCGGUGGAGACAUGCGGUAAGGUGCUCGUGCAGGCGGUUUGGCACCCGGCUCCAGCUCAAUCUUGGAUGUUGGUGGCCUCGAAGUACCUCUCCAUGGACCACAAGAAGUUCUCGAUCUCCUGGGCAUCCCUCAAGGACUUGGCCUACCGCCUCCGGUAUGGGCUCCAUGGCCAUAGUGUCCUUCCCGUCACCAACCUCAUGAAUGGCCACCGCCUUCUUGCAAAGCGCCCAAUCCAUCUUAGUCUCUUCAAGGCCCGUGUGAAGCUCCUCCACUUGAGCCCUGAGCGCCUCAAUAGAGUUCAGAACCACCGCUUGGAACUCCUCAAGGCUUUGGCGUUGCGCCACCACAUCUUGGCUUAGAUCGCCCAUCCGCUCACCAAGAUCAUCCACCUCCUCCAUCUUUUGCUCAAAGAUCUCGAGGCGUUCUUUAAUCUCAGCGACAGAAAUCUCCCCACAGACAAUCCGAUUCUCCAUGGCGUUGAGCAAGUCCACUGACUUCUCCUUGCUGUUUUUCCCCUUCUUCGUAUUGGGGUUAGGCUCCCUUCCCCUUUGGUCAUCAUGAGUGCUCUCUGACAUCCUUCCUUUCGAACAACGCAACUACCCACGAGUGUAGACGGCUCUGAUACCAACUGUCACGGCCCGGAUUGUUCCCACGCUAUGCCGUGCGGCCUUAGGCGCCAAAUUCGCACUCUAUUGGCCCUAAGUCAGCCUUACACCCAAAUCUGUUGCUGGAUUCGAGAAGCGGAAAAAGGAAUCACUCUAACUCACAAAGUAUGGGAGGAAAGAACUUAUAUUGCUCGAUAGAAUGCUUACAAAGCUAUGUGUGCUGGAAUUGUAUAUUGCUUUUUGAUUGAUUUGGCCAAAUGAGGCCUUCUCCUAUUUAUAGGGUACAAAGAAGUAUCUAGAGAGUCUCUAGAGUUACAUAAACACAUUAAUUACAAUGGAAAUAUCUACAUGCUCUACACAAGUCUCCAUGGCUCUAGAAUUCUCCAUGGGCCAGGCCAUGUGGAAGCUUGGGCCAUGACAUAUAGCCCACCUGUUUUUUGGCCAUUUUUCCGUUGGGGGGUCUUGGGACCCCGACCUUCGGGGGCUGGUUUUUGGGCGCGGCUGUGCCCGUGGCCUAUUUUUGGCACACGGAGGCCGCCCGCCAAGUCUGGUGCCAUUCCGAGUCCCGCGGACGAACUUCGCCCACGCCCCCCACCAAGGCUAUAGCCCACCCGUUUUUUGGCCAUUUUUCCGCUGGGGGGUCUUGGGACCCCGACCUUCGGGGGCUUUUUUUUUGGCGCGGCUGUGCCCGUGGCCUAUUUUUGGCACACCGAGUCCGCCCGCCAAGUCUGGUGCCAUACCGAGUCCCGCGGACGAACUUCGCCCACGCCCCCCACCAAGGCUAUAGCCCACCCGUUUUUUGGCCAUUUUUCCGCUGGGGGGUCUUGGGACCCCGACCUUCGGGGGCUGUUUUUUGGGCGCGGCUGUGCCCGUAGCCUAUUGUUGGCACACGGAGGCCGCCCGCCAAGUCUGGUGCCAUUCCGAGUCCCGCGGACGAACUUCGCCCACGCCCCCCACCAAGGCUAUAGCCCACCCGUUUUUUGGCCAUUUUUCCACUGGGGGGUCUUGGGGCCCCGACCUUCGGGGGCUGUUUUUUUGGCGCGGCUGUGCCCGUGGCCUAUUUUUGGCACACGGAGGCCGCCCGCCAAGUCUGGUGCCAUUCCGAGUCCCGCGGACGAACUUCGCCCACGCCCCCCACCAAGGCUAUAGCCCUCCCGUUUUUUGGCCAUUUUUCCGCUGGGGGGUCUUGGGACCCCGACCUUCGGGGGCUGUUUUUUGGGCGCGGCUGUGCCCGUGGCCUAUUUUUGGCACACGGAGGCCGCCCGCCAAGUCUGGUGCCAUUCCGAGUCCCGCGGACGAACUUCGCCCACGCCCCCCACCAAGGCUAUAGCCCACCCGUUUUUUGGCCAUUUUUCCGCUGGGGGGUCUUGGGACCCCGACCUUCGGGAGCUGGUUUUUGGGCGCGGCUGUUCCCGUGGCCUAUUUUUGGCACACGGAGGCCGCCCACCAAGUCUGGUGCCAUUCCGAGUCCCGCGGACGAACUUCGCCCACGCCCCCCACCAAGGCUACAGCCCACCCGUUUUUUGGCCAUUUUUCCGCUGGGGGGUCUUGGGACCCCGACCUUCGGGGGCUGCUUUUGGGGCGCGGCUGUGCCUGUGGCCUAUUUUUGGCACACGGACGCCGCCCGGCAAGUCUGGUGCCAUUCCGAGUCCCGCGGACGAACUUCGCCCACGCCCCCCACCAAGGCUAUAGCCCACCCGUUUUUUGGCCAUUUUUCCGCUGGGGGGUCUUGGGACCCCGACCUUCGGGGGCUGUUUUUUGGGCGCGGCUGUGCCCGUGGCCUAUUUUUGGCACACGGAGGCCGCCCGCCAAGUCUGGUGCCAUUCCGAGUCCCGCGGACGAACUUCGCCCACGCCCCCCACCAAGGCUAUAGCCCACCCGUUUUUUGGCCAUUUUUCCGCUGGGGGGUCUUGGGACCCCGACCUUCGGGGGCUUGUUUUUGGGCGCGGCUGUGCCCGUGGCCUAUUUUUGGCACACGGAGGCCGCCCGCCAAGUCUGGUGCCAUUCCGAGUCCCGCGGACGAACUUCGCCCACGCCCCCCACCAAGGCUAUAGCCCACCCGUUUUUUGGCCAUUUUUCCGCUGGGGGGUCUUGGGACCCCGACCUUCGGGGGCUGGUUUUUGGGCGAGGCUGUGCCCGUGGCCUAUUUUUGGCACACGGAGGCCGCCCGCCAAGUCUGGUGCCAUUCCGAGUACCGCGGACGAACUUCGCCCACGCCCCCCACCAAGCCUAUAGCCCACCCGUUUUUUGGCCAUUUUUCCGCUGGGGGGUCUUGGGACCCCGACCUUCGGGGGCUGGUUUUUGGGCACGGCUGUGCCCGUGGCCUAUUUUUGGCACACGGAGGCUGCCCGCUAAAUCUGUUGCCAUUCCGAGUCGCGCGGACGAACUUCGCCCACGCCCCCCACCAAGGCUAUAGCCCACCCGUUUUUUGGUCAUUUUUCCGCUGGGGGGUCUUGGGACCCCGACCUUCGCGGGCUGGUUUUUGGGCGCGGCUGUGCCCGUGGCCUAUUUUUGGCACACGGAGGCCGCCCGCCAAGUCUGGUGCCAUUCCGAGUCCCGCGGACGAACUUCGCCCACGCCCCCCACCAAGGCUAUAGCCCACCCGUUUUUUGGCCAUUUUUCCGCUGGGGGUCUUGGGACCCCGACCUUCGGGGGCUGGUUUUUGGGCACGGCUGUGCCCGUGGCCUAUUUUUGGCACACGGAGGCUGCCCGCUAAGUCUGGUGCCAUUCCGAGUCGCGCGGACGAACUUCGCCCACGCCCCCCACCAAGGCUAUAGCCCACCCGUUUUUUGGCCAUUUUUCCGCUGGGGGGUCUUGGGACCCCGACCUUCGGGGGCUGGUUUUUGGGCGCGGCUGUGCCCGUGGCCUAUUUUUGGCACACGGAUGCCGCCCGCCAAGUCUUGUGCCAUUCCGAGUCCCGCGGACGAACUUCGCCCACGCCCCCUGAUGAGCAUAUAAUACAUACAUAUUUUACCAUUAAUUAAAUAAUUGUUAGUUAUAUUUAUUUGUUAUUUUUAAUUAAUUGUAUUGUUUUAUUGAAUAGGGAAUUAAUUAGAGAUUAUGGAUAAAAAGAGCAUAAAGAAAUUCAAUUUGUGAGCAUUAAAGAUUAAUUAACUUGGAAGCAAUUAUGCUUACAUGCAUGUGGAAAUCAAGACAAGGAAACCGAAUUCAACAAUUCAUUUAGCCAUGCACGUGCAGACAAAGAAGAUAAAAGGGGUGGAAAGCAAUAGAAAGGGACCCGCACUUGACUUUCAUGAGUGGAAAAGGAAUGAAAAUUCUUUUUGAAGUACACGUGAUAAAGCCAAAGUUAAAAGCUUUGCCAGCACAUGAAGGAUAAAAGGAAUUCUAAUUGGGCUUUGCAAGAGUGGGCUGAUUUUAGCUUGUGUGAGCAUUUCACUAGCUAUCAUUAUUUGACAAGGAUUCGGCUAGGGAUUAAAGAUAUAAAAGCCGAACUUUGGCUUUUGCAAAGGGGGAGCCGCCAGAAGGGAGAACUGGAGACGCAAGGAUUCAAGACAGAGAAGAAAAUCUGCAGCAAUUCGGCUUUCCUAUGGCUGAAUUUAUUUAUUUUGUUGCUCCCAAUUCAAGUAUGUCUAACUAAUUUUCUUAUACUGAGGUUAAAGAUGAAACCCUAUUCAAUGAAAUAAUUAUCUUUUUAUUUAAUUAAUUUCCUAUAUAUGUUCUUUGAUGAUUAUGGUUUUUAUUUCACAUGAUUAAUUGGAUGUUAAUAAAAUCUUUUCAUCAAUUCUGUCAUGCAUUAUUGAUUGUUAGGAUUAAUAUUCAAUUAAAUCUAUGCUUGGAUCUAUAAAGUUUAUACAUGAUUAUCUUUGACUCUAUGUCUUUCAUUAAAUUGUUUACAUAGAGUGCUUAGUAAACUUUGACUCUUUGUUAUUCAAUAUGUUUACAUGGGAUACUUAGAUAUCGUAUUAUUAAGUAGAAAAAGAACCUACAUUAGAUUUAAUUACUUGGGCUUAAUUGUUAUAUCCAUGAGAUGACAUAGAUUGAUUUCGAGUUGUCACUCUAAAAUUGGGGAUUAAUUAAUAUUUAGAUAAUUACUAAUUGAAUAGUGGUGGAUUCCGAAACCUUGGUAAUUUUUAUCUCAUUAAAUUCUC